AGGGGACGGGCGGCGGCGGGCCCGGCUGCGGCCUAGCGAAGGGGGUUGGGGGGAAGGAGGCGGAGGGGGAAGGGAGGAGCGCCGGGUGCGCGCGCGGUUGGCGGAGAGGGGUUUGCGAGCGUGGCGGAGGUGGCACUGUUGACAGCCGCCGCCGCCGCCUCAGAGGCGAGCAGCCGCCGUCGCAGUUCUUUGUCUGGCGAAGCCCAAAAUGGCUGCAUGUUCCGCGGCGGCGGCGGCGGCUCCCGCUCUUCUCCCUCCCUGCCUGCGCGCCCCUGAGGUUUCCCUCGGCGGAGCGGGUCUGAAGGGCAACCCCGCCGCACCUGUGCCAGCUGCUGUAACCGAUACACCCGCGGGAAGGGGCGGCGGUGAGGGGAGAGGACGAGGGCCGGGCUCGACCCGGCGGCGGCCCGCCUGCUUGCGGGUGAGAAGGGCCUCGUCCCGCCGGGGAAGCCCGCCCGCCUCGCCUUAGUUGAGGAGACGGGAGGUCUCGGCCUUGGGGGAAGAAGGGCCCGCGCUCGCUUCCUGGCCAUGCCGGCUGCCGCCUCUUUCCUUCCCUCAGCCUUGGUUUCUAACAGAGUUUGAGAUCUCUCACACGGCAACCCGGGGGGACCCUUCCCCCCCCCAGCGCCUUUACAUCCCCUCGACACCCCCCAAUCCUUCUCAUGGGGCUCCCCGUUUUGCAGACACACGCACAGGCUUCCCCGCCCCAGUUGAAAUGCGCCCCCUCUCUAUUGUUAAAAAUAUUUAUAAAGAGUCCUCUUCAGUGUCAAAAUCAGCGCCCUCCUCCUCUCCCGCCUUUAUUUUUCAAAUCGCUUCCUUAACACUCUCUGCGAGGCCGGCAAGAAAUCUUUUUUCCCCCACCACGUCAAGCCGCCUUUCCAUUUAGGAGGUUCUCUAGCAUAAUUGAUCCUCGCACACGUUUUUUUUUCUUAUAUCAUGCUGUCCUGAGAGCAGCUGGCUGCUCACAUCGCAGCCAUGUCGUCAUACCUUCCAGUUUUUAAGUUGCUAUUUGAGAGAGAGAGGAGAGAUCUCCACUUUGCAUGUAAAGAAUUUCUCUGAAGGAGACAACUCCUGUUUCUAAAGUAAGUUGAAAGGAGAAGGUUAGAAGAUAGGCUUUAAAGUGCAGAGACUGAAGGAAUGUAGGACCUCACUCCAAAUCUGGGGUUGGGUACAAUUCCUCUUUCAGUGUCACUUAGAAUCGUAGAUCUGGAAGGGACUCCCAAGGGUCAUCUAGUCCAACCCGCCACAAUGCUAUCCUUAAUGAUGUUUACAUCUCUCCCCCCCACCACCUUUACAUGGCUUAACGUCACUUGUAAUCAGAUUUUGGUGUGUGUUUUUGGUCAAAACAACUCAUCGAAGCUUCCUAUAGUAGUCCUUUUGCAUUGCAAAGUCACAUUUGUUAGUGCCGCCCUUGUCAUAGUGUGGUUGGCCUGCAGUGUAAAUCUGCCUGUGAAGAUCUCUGUGCUCUCCUUCAUCAGAUUGUUAGAGGUGCGGGCUAUGUGUGCCGCCACGUAUCACAAUUUAUCGCCAGUCAGUUGUAAAUGGAAUCAUUCAGAAUUCUCUUUGUAUUCCUCUCCCUGCCUUCUUUAACCAAUUUAAUCUGGAAAGCAUGUACUAUCAGGCUGUGCUAGUCACUGUCUCCCUUGCCGAGAUACCUUAUGUUGCUGUUGCCCUUUAUUAAUUAUUUCUGUGCUUAGCCCACCCCAUCCUGAGGGUUCAGGAUGGGUGGCAGUACUUUAUUCUAUAAUUUAUACUUCUAAUGAGACUUUUAGAAUGGUGAAAAUUAGAGGGGAUGGAAACAUCUACUUAAACCUGACAAUUAAAAGAAUCCACCAAUACCAAGGCUUUUAAUACCAGGCGUCAAGCUCUUGAACAACUCCCAGUUUUAAGACAGAGGGGUUAUGUUUUGCUUUACAGCAUAUUUCAUCUCGGUUUUAAGGAGUUAAGAAGGCUAAGCUUUCCUGUUAUCAGUCAGUGUCAGUGCACUGCAGGUAUUUCAGGUGCCUCUCUGGGCAACUGGAGGGGUUCUGCACUCCUUGCAGCAGGUAACUGGUUUUGUUCCCAAUUAAGGAUUAGCUGAGGAAGUACUGAAAAUGGGUAGCAUACAUGGAAGCUGCUAACCUAUGUCAAGAAUUUCUACAAAAAAGACAAUGAAAUUCUUGAUUUUGAAUUUAGAAAACUUUGCAAACUGAUAGCCCCAUUCUUUAUGCAAGCUACGUAAAUACACAGAGAAAGGGUUUUUUAUAUUAAAGCCUUGGGAGAAAAAGAAAAGAGGGGGGAUGAUCAGUAGCUAUUCAGACUGCCCUUUAAAGUUCAGCAGCAAAAGGCAGGGGGAAAGGAUGGCUUGAGAGCAUCAUAACUAAGUCAUUAACCCCUCACGUCUCAGGAAAAGCUGUAAACCUUUACAUAGGCUAGAAAAAAAAGAACCUAAAUAAAUCUGCUUCAUGCUUUGCUUUCUCUUGACAGAGGGAACCCAUGCCCUUGAUUCUGAUCACCACUGCAAGAGAUGGUGUCUGAGACAUACCAGCUUCCCUUACACAUUUCAGACACCCAGUUUUCCCAAGUUUGGACAAAUUUCCGCAGCCAAGCAUGAAGGCGGUGAAAAUAACACAUGAAUCGCCUCACAUACAAGAAUAUUUAGUUCUAUAACAGUUUUGUUUUGGGGGCAAACCUUUGGUCUGAGGUGAACUCAAUAUUGCCCUUUAACCUGCGGGCUGGUCUUUAAUUGGUUCUUACUGUGAUGAAAUAUAUUUUAAAGCUAGAUGUUUUGUAUUUCUGGGGUUUGUUUGUUUUUUGCUUUAGCCUGUGGUUUUUUUAUUUUAAUAGUUAACCACACCAAUACGUUUUUGGGUAAAUAGCUGGUGAUCUGCCAGCCAUUUAGAGGAGGAAUUGAGUUCUGAGAUGUAGAGCACAUGCAUGCACACGGUCCCACAACGAACCCGUGCCACCGCCUAAAUAGAUCUUGGGCAGAAAGACUAGGAGAUGCAAGGCACUGCAGAACCAAAGCUGUUUAACAGUAGACAGUACUGGGGGAGAUGGUAGUUUCAAAUAUGUUCACCAUAAUUUCUAACCUUUAUACUUGUAAUGCAGAUAUCUUUACAGCAAAUAAAAAGUUGGCUUUCAACAUGCUUUGUCUGCCUGUUGUCCAAAGGGGCGUUUCCGCAUACAUUUUCAUCACCUGGUGACCAUAAUAAAAUGGGUGGUUUGUAUGCAUAAUACAGCCAUCACAGAUCUAAUGGCACCCAAAACUAUAGUUUUUAUGCUGUGACGCGCCCUGGGACCUUAGGCUGAAGGGUGGUUAAUCAUAAUAAUAUAGAUUCAGCCUUGGUGCUAAAUUUCCUUAUGUGCAAAUUGGGUGUUUUGACAUAAGCUUUUAGAUCCCUCUUCAUUAGAUGCAUGAAAUGUUAUCCUCAGUUGGCAGUUAUCAGCCAUCUGAGAACAACACUUCACGCGUCUGUGGAAGAGAACUCUAAGCUAGAAAACCUUAUGCACAAUAUUGGUAUGUUAGUUUUUUAAGGAGACACAAGAUGCUUCAUUGCAGACAUCUUUGCCUGAAUCAUCUCAGUAUACAGUAGAUUCCAAGAGCAACGGAGGCACAAAAAGCCUGUUUCUUCAUGUGGUUGAGCUGGUUGUAGAAAAAAAUGUUCUAAAGACCAGUUUAUGCAUUCUACAACCUCAGGCCUUGUUGCCUAGUUCUUUUAAAGUUGUCUCAAAAGUGCAUUCAACUUUGCCUUGCCUAUUUUUCAGCAUAAGCCCAAUAACUUCCAGUACAUUUGCCUGAAGGUGUAUUAUCCAGAAAAGCCCUUUAAAGAAGACAUUGGAGCAGGCAAUGCAGAAAGUACCUCCUGAAUUACAAUUCUGCAAUUAAUAAGGGGGAGGAGAGAUUGUGUCAUCAUAAGUUCUCACUACAUUCUCUGAAAACCUCGAGUAGGCUGUUGAUUUUUAAUUUUUUAUUAAGUAAAGCUGCUAUUCUUCCCUAACAUUGGAUAGAAUAAACGCUAUAAUCUGGCUCUGAAAGCUGUGUUGGAUGGGAGACCACCUGGGAACCAUCUGUAAGUUGCUUUGAGGUCUUUAGAGGAAGCACAUGGUAUAAGCAAUAAAUAAAUGAAGACUGUUUACGUUCAUA